rnacentral:rRNA from 1 species
CCUACGUGGAGCUGCAGUGGGGAAUAUUGGACAAUGGGCGAAAGCCUGAUCCAGCCAUGCCGCGUGUGUGAAGAAGGCCUUCGGGUUGUAAAGCACUUUCAGUGGGGAAGAAAGCCUUGGGGCUAAUACCCUCGAGGAAGGACAUCACCCACAGAAGAAGCACCGGCUAACUCCGUGCCAGCAGCCGCGGUAAUACGGAGGGUGCGAGCGUUAAUCGGAAUUACUGGGCGUAAAGCGCGCGUAGGCGGUCUGAUAAGCCGGUUGUGAAAGCCCCGGGCUCAACCUGGGAACGGCAUCCGGAACUGUCAGGCUAGAGUGCAGGAGAGGAAGGUAGAAUUCCCGGUGUAGCGGUGAAAUGCGUAGAGAUCGGGAGGAAUACCAGUGGCGAAGGCGGCCUUCUGGACUGACACUGACGCUGAGGUGCGAAAGCGUGGGUAGCAAACAGGAUUAGAUACCCCAGUAGUC